rnacentral:lncRNA from 1 species
AGUGUGAAUUAAUUUGACUAUCUCUUUAAUAUAUUAACAUCAGAUAUAAAAUGUAAUGUGAAAUGCUACUUUGUAUAAAAUGUUUUUCCAAAUGCCAAGAUAAUGAUUGACUGAAAGUAUGUAAUAAUUUGGUCUCAACCUAGUGUUGUUUAUUGUUUUCUUGUUGUAUGAUUGACUGAAAGUAUGUAAUAAUUUGGUCUCAACCUAGUGUUGUUUAUUGUUUUCUUGUUGCACUAGACAUCUGUUUUUUGGACAUGACCUGUGUUGAAUCAUUGUUAGUGGUUUCUGUUAACAAGACCAUAACAUUCAAGUAAAUAGCCAAAUUAUCAGCACAAGUGAUAGUAGUAUCUGUUUAAGAUGAUUUCAUUGAGUAUGAUUGUCUCCUCUUUCAC